rnacentral:rRNA from 1 species
UACGGGGGGUGCGAGCGUUGUCCGGAAUCACUGGGCGUAAAGGGCGCGUAGGUGGCGUCGUAAGUUUGUGGUGAAAGCUCGGAGCUCAACUCCGGGUCUGCCGCGAAUACUGCGAGGCUUGAGUACUGUAGAGGGGGGUAGAAUAUCGGGUGUAGCGGUGGAAUGCGUAGAGAUCCGAUAGAAGACCGGUGGCGAAGGCGGCCCCCUGGGCAGUAACUGACACUGAGGCGCGACAGCGUGGGGAGCAAACAGG